rnacentral:rRNA from 1 species
GGGGGGGGGGGGGGGCGGGGCUGGGACGGGCGGGUCGGGCGAGGUUAGGAGGGUUGCUUAUUAUGACAGGGGCGCAGGGGUGCGGAACGCGUAUGCCACCUACCUUCAGCAGGGCGAUAGCCCGGAGAAAUUCGGAUUAAGACCGCAUAACAACACAGGAUAGCAUUACUCAAUGUCCCAAUAUUUAUAGUAUUAAGAUGGGCAUGCGUGUCAUUAGCUAGCUGGCGGGGUAACGGCCCACCAAGGCUACGAUGACUAGGGGAUCUGAUAGGAUGACCCCCCACACUGGUACUGAGACACGGACCAGACUCCUACGGGAGGCAGAAGUAAGGAAUAUUGGUCAAUGGAGGGAACUCUGAACCAGCCAUGCCGCGUGCAGGAAGACUGCCCUCUGGGUCGUAAACUGCUUUUAUUCGGGAAUAAACCUUUCUACGUGUAGGAAGCUGAAUGUACAGAAGGAAUAAGGAUCGGCUAACUCCGUG